rnacentral:rRNA from 1 species
UACGGGGGGGGCAAGCGUUGUUCGGAAUUACUGGGCGUAAAGGGCUCGUAGGCGGCCAACUAAGUCAGACGUGAAAUCCCUCGGCUUAACCGGGGAACUGCAUCUGAUACUGGAUGGCUUGAGUUUGGGAGAGGGAUGCGGAAUUCCAGGUGUAGCGGUGAAAUGCGUAGAUAUCUGGAGGAACACCGGUGGCGAAGGCGGCAUCC